rnacentral:rRNA from 1 species
AACAUUUCCUUUAGAUUUUUUUUAAGGUAAAACCUGCCCACUGUUUAAAAAAUAAAGGGCCGCGGUAUUUUGACCGUGCAAAGGUAGCAUAAUCAUUAGUCUCUUAAUUGGGGAAUGGAAUGAAUGGUUAAAUGAUUUUUUUCUUUUAUUUAUAUUAAAAUAAAAUUUUGAUUUUAAGUGAAAAUACUUAAAUAAUUUAGUUAGACGAUAAGACCCUAUAGAAUUUUAUUUUUAUUUUACUUUAUAUUAAUUUAAAAAUUUAAAUGGGGCAUUUUUUGAAUAAAAAUAAUUUCUUUUAUAAUAAUUAUAAAAUAUCUUAAAUGUAAGCUUUUUAAAAAAUUACCUUAGGGAUAACAGCGUAAUGUAUUUUGAGAGUUCUUAUCGACAAAUAAGUUUGCGACCUCGAUGUUGAAUUAAAAUACCUUUAUGGAGCAGGUUUUAUAUAAGGUAGUCUGUUCGACUAUAAAAUUUUUACAUGAUUUGUUC